GCAGCGUCAGCCAAUAAAACCCAUGGGGCUGCAGUGGUGGCCGAGUGCAGGCACGUCCCGGCAUUGUUCCAAACUCUGUCCCACCCGGCCCGGAGCAGCUCCAAGGAGGGGGCAGGAAACCACAACCUCUCCAGGCAGUUCCCACCUGUCUUGCUGGGAUCAGGGACAGGACCGAGAUACUUCAUAGUGUUGGUGUGUCAGAGACUGAAAUGUUACAACUAAUGGCUUAAACAUCGUUAGGAGGGAGUUUUGACCAUUAUGGCAAAAGUGGAUAAAGAAGCUACGACCACUGAAACCCACCCCUCCCUGAGGAUGCCUCCUGAGAAGAACUUUGGGCUGUGACUUAAGCCCCCUAAGGGAACCUGAGAUAGAUCAAGAUUUUCUGAGUGUGUGGAGAGUUCUCUUCCAUCGAGAUGUCAUUAUCCAGUUACUUCCCAGCUGAGGACUGGGAUGAAGGAGACUUCUGCACCCCACUAUCACUUGUUGGUCCAACAGGAUGCUUUUGGGGUCCAUGGAUGCUGAUAUUUUUUGUCACUCUCUUUCUUUCCACCCUCUUUUUCUAUUUCUUUCUCUUUCUUUCUUUUUCUCAUUUACUGUUAAAUAAAAUCCAUACUAUU